rnacentral:rRNA from 1 species
UACAGAGGUGGCAAGCGUUGUUCGGAAUUACUGGGCGUAAAGGGCGCGUAGGCGGUCUUUUAAGUUCCGUGUGAAAUCCCUCGGCUCAACUGGGGAACUGCACGGAAAACUGGGAGGCUUGAGUUCGGGAGAGGGAAGCGGAAUUCCGGGUGUAGCGGUGAAAUGCGUAGAUAUCGGGAGGAACACCAGUGGCGAAGGCGAGUCUCUGGGCUGUAUCUGACGCUGAUGCGCGAAAGCUAGGGGAGCAAACGGG